CUGGUGAGUUGGAGAAAGAGCAGGUGAGGUGGACUGAUAUCCCUGUCUAGUGGGAGAACCUACAGAACUAUUGGACCGGAAGUCAAAAACCUGGUGAGAGCCAAGAGGCCUGGGGAUGCCUCAGGGAUUCCUACUGCUAAAACUGGGAUUGGUUUGUACUCAUCUUUACGAGAAGAUGAUCCAGCUAAUUUAAACACCACAAGAUGACUUUGGCAUGGAAUGUUCUAAAGGAACUUCCUAUGGGCCAUGUUUAUGUUAGGGGACAGAGACUUCAACUCAAAUUCUCCUUUCUUCAGGAGAGUGACAACAACAGAAGUGUUCCGGCACCCAACUGCCCUAUCCAGAGGGCGCAUCCCACUGUAGUCAACAUGCUCAAUCAUGGCUCCAUGAUCCACCAGGAACUGGACCUAGAAGAUGGAUCAAGCAAAACAGUUAACAGAGGAGCAAGGGUUCAACGUGGACCACUAAAUUGUUACUUCACCUUUAAUCUCAAGACAGUAUCACAAUGGAGAAUCUUCCCUAUUCCUACUGUCCUGAGGCUAGUGUGAAGACACUCACCACCUCAGCAUCACCAUAGAAAGCUGCCAAGUCCAGUGGGGUGCGGCCAUUCUUGUCGGCAUGGUCUGUGGCAGCUCCAUUAUCCACCAGAGAACGUACUACUGAGAGAUGACCCUUCAAACAAGCCCAGCUGAGGGCUGUCAAUCCUUCUUUGUCCAUUAAAGCAAUAGAGGCACCUAUAGGAGCAAGUGAUAAUAUAGGACUGAGGAAACAUGAAAAUUCAUAGCAGAUGGAAAACUAGUACUUAAGAUAUAAACACUGCCAAAGAACACCUUUUGUUUUUGGAUGUUUCAUUUUAAUAUUGACACUAAUAUAUCAGUUAUAUCUCAAUAAAACUAUUGAAAAUUGAUCUUGGGACUGGGGAUGUCCCAAGCAGUAGUGCGCUCGCCUGGCAUGCAUGGGGCGCUGGGUUUGAUCCUCAGCACCACAUUAAAAAAAUAAAAUAAAGAUGUUGUGUCUACCGAAAACUAAAAAAUAAAUAUUAAAAAAUUC